GCUUCGGUGUUGAUGACGACCGGCGAACGGGUGCGUAACGCGUAUGCAAUCUACCCACAGCAGAGGGAUAGCCCGUGGAAACAUGGAUUAAUACCUCAUAAUACAGGGGGCCCGCAUGGGCAUAUUGUUAAAGCUUUUUGCGGCUGUGGAUGGGCAUGCGUCCCAUUAGUUAGUUGGUGCGGUAACGGCGUACCAAGACGAUGAUGGGUAGGGGUUCUGAGAGGAUGAUCCCCCACACUGGUACUGAGAUACGGACCAGACUCCUACGGGAGGCAGCAGUAGGGAAUAUGGUCAAUGGACGGAAGUCUGAACCAGCCAUGUCGCGUGCAGGAAGACGGCCUUCUGGGUUGUAAACUGCUUUUAUCAGGGAAGAAUAAGCUUCUUGCGAGAAGUGAUGCCGGUACCUGAAGAAUAAGCACCGGCUAACUCCGUGCCAGCAGCCGCGGUAAUACGGAGGGUGCGAGCGUUGUCCGGAUUUAUUGGGUUUAAAGGGUGCGUAGGCGGCCUGUUAAGUCAGUGGUGAAAGGUAUCAGCUUAACUGAUGAUGUGCCAUUGAAACUGGGAGGCUUGAGUACAGACGAGGUAGGCGGAAUUUAUGGUGUAGCGGUGAAAUGCGUAGAUACCAUAAAGAACACCGAUAGCGAAGGCAGCUUACUAGGCUGAGACUGACGCUAAUGCAC
rnacentral:rRNA from 1 species